AAACAAUGAUUAUGGUAUUUGCUUGCAGAUGAUAUAAAGUUAAAUAUAUAGGAAGUGGCAUCAGAUAUGCUUGCCAGAUUUGCUUUGUAGUUGAGAGUCUAGGGGUUGUGCCCUUUUAGGGCCUGUUUGGAUGGUUGGGCCCAAAAUCUUAUGGAAUUCAUAGCCCAAACAUCAAAAAUAAUGGACUAUGACUAGGUCAGAUCUUUUGUUUACAAUUUUGAGUGGGUUGGUCUGAAUCCCAUAGGGAGAAAAAAUGACCUCAAAUGACCUAUGGGAUUCGGGCUAGCCCACUCAAAAAUGAUCCUGGAUACUUAUAAACAUAAGGCUUGGCUUGCUUGUAAUCUAAUAUUUUUGAUGGUUGGGCCAUGAAAUCUAUAGGAUUUUAGGCCCAACCAUCCAAUUAGGCCCUUAGGGUCUGUUUAGAUGAAUAGGCUAAAAAUCCUAUUGGAUUCAUUAGAUUGGAUCAAUACAAUCAGUUAGAAAUAGGUUUACGGGAUGGACUAGACCUAUGGCCAUAAGUACUUAGGACUGGUUUUGGAGCAGGUCUUUUUUUAUUUCCUAUGGUAUUCGGGCCGGCCCACUAAUAAACCAGUCCCAGGUACUUAUGGAUAUGGCCUAGUCCAGUCUAUAAACUUAUUUCUAACUGUUGAAUUAAACCCAAUCCAAUGAACUCAAUCCAAUGAAUCCCAUGAGAUUUCAACCCAUUCAUCCAAACAGGCCCUUGGGGUCUUUUGGAGAAAUCUAGCAGGAUUGUGUUGGAUUUCCCAUUAGAUCAUGGAUUACAUAGCUUAGUUAACAAGGCCCAUAUCAACCCAAUCCCUCUCCAGCCCCAAUACUGUGGGAGAAAAAAUAAGACCUCCAUUUUUUCAUUUUUUAAUCCUGCAGUCCAACAAGCUCAUAAAUCGGAUAGGCCUUUAAGAAAAAAAUGUCCAGACAGGCUAACAGGCCAGAGUCCCAGAGGAAAUCCCAUCCAAUCCUGUUGGAUUUCCCAAACAUGCUCUUAGUUAUUUCCAUUCCAUCGCUUCUGGCACAAAGCAGGCAAAAAAGUUGAUUUUUACAUUCAGCCCAUUUAAUUAGAGAAAGUGUUGCACUCCUAUUUUCAGUUACUCUGUGAAGUCAAAAGUGUUGCAUUCCUAUAAUCAAUUGAAAGAAUUUUAGGAUGGUUGUAGCAUUAUGAGAAGAUCAAAAUAGUUAAGUGAAUGCUCAAGUGAUCUUUUCCUUUCUGUAGUCGAGAAGUGGAUGAGGUCAAUGUUGUCUCUCUAAUUGAGAAUACUUGGAAGCAUUUCUUUCCAUUCCAUGUCAAAUCCUAUCCAAUGUUUUAAUUUCUGUGUAUAUGCAUAUAUAGCUGUUACAUAUAUUUUCUUUAAAAGCACUUGAUAUACAUACAUUGUUGCACAUAUAAGCUAAACUCAAGUGCAACUCCCUGUUUCAGGGUGUAAUUUCAUUAGACCACUAAGACCAAGUUUGGUGAAUUAUCCUAAUAUGUCUUAUAUUGAAGUUGAUUCAUCAAGGAGAUGAAUGAUUGGAGAAUUUGGAGGUAGGGAACAAUGGAGGAAGAGAUGGGAGUAGGAUUUAUCUCAUGCCUACUCUUUGUGAGGCUUCCAUGUGCUCGGGAUAACUGUGGUGGCACAUUGUCUCUUAUCGCCUCAGUGUAAGCCAGCAAAUGUAAUGGAAAGACUUUCUAUGCUGAGAUGAGGAAGAUAUCAAUAAACAUGUUGCUGAGGAUGGUGAUGAAUGCUUGACCGCAGAAAAGUGCCAGUUGUUCAGGAAACUUCUGACUAGGAGAUGAUGCUGACAUUGCCCAAGGCAGGUUCUUAAAGUUGCUGAACCGUUGGUUCUUUUAACCAGCAGAGAUAACGCUUGCUGGCUGGUGGGUCUCCGUGAACCUGCCUUUGCGUGUGACACUUCAUUUUGUUUGGGGUAGAAAUUAAUGAUUCCAUUUUGCUCUCUCUUCGGUUGUUUGCACUGGGUGCCAAAAGAAAAAGGAACUCAGCUGUUAACAAGGGUAACCAUAUACUUUUCCCUCAUGUCCCCCAUGCACUGUUAUCUGAAUACGAGGCGAUGGCUUGUUGUUCUAUGUAAAGUUGUGUGAUUAUCCUUCGUUGGAGGCUUAGGACUCUGAAUCCCUUUAUCUCAUGGCGAGAUAGGAACCUUUUAACUCCUGACCUUUGAUGAUUUUGAGCUAGAGUAUGCAGUCAGCACUGAUUUUAAGGUUCACAUUGACACGAGUGCUGCACCUCUAAGUGAUGCAAUCGAAAAUUGAAUUCAUAUAAUUGUGGCAAUUUUGUAUAUAAUUAAUGUUGAAGAUCAUAAAAGUAAUUAGCACAAUAUUUGAUAGGAGCUAUUUUGCAAAUAAUUUUCAUAAAGUAUUAUAAAAUGUAGAAUGUUAAAUGGGAUAGCUGGGCCACUAGGGGGAAUUAUUAGUUAACAUUGUUCUACAAUGUGUAUCUUGGACUACUAUCUAAUUAGAAGCUAUCACAUUAUUUAAGAAAAUAAAUUUUUUUCUAUUCAAAAUAGUAAAAGUUGUCAGUUGGUCAAUCAGAGUUAACAGCGAAAUUUUUUUCACUUAAAUUUUUUAAUCAAGCUUUGUUGAUACAAGUAAUGAGUUUGAUGAAUACAAAAUAUUUAAGUAUAUUGGUGUAUUAAUAAUUUAUUUGAAUGUAUAUUGAAAAGGUUUCAGAAAAUAAAAAUUAUUUUCAAAAAAGCUCAAGCUAUUGCCAAAGUUAAGAGCUAAAGAAAGUAAGUUUUGGAGAGCCAUAUUAUGAGAAACAAGAUAGUGGAAGCCAAAAGUCAAUCCUAAAUUUCAAGGAGAUAAUUCUGGCAUGCAAGACUUAAGUGGCACGGUUCUAUAAGUCGACCUCAAAGAUUUCUUAGCUGAUUCUCUCAAACAAGAUGUAAAGUUAUAUUUUUUAGUUUAGAGCUCAAGUCGAUCCUAAGGUUUCUCGGAUCAUUUUUUAGUUAGCUUUGAGUCAACCUCUAAUUAAUCGAGUCGACUCUAUUAAACAAACAGAGAGCUAUAUUUUUUAGUUUGGACCUCUAGUCGAUCGUGAGUUGAGUCGGUUACACCUGACAACUCUAAUGAUUAGUUUUGUUGAAUAUAUAUAAACGUGUAGAAGCUUUUCAAUGGCUAGUUCUAGAUUUCUAUCAGGCAAAAAAUUAUUUUUGGACAUUCUAAGAGCCUUAAAUGCAAAUUAAAUUCAUUGAAAAA